rnacentral:rRNA from 1 species
UCUCAGAAUCUCAGAAUUUCAGAAUCUCAGAAUCUCAGAAUCUCAGAAUCUCAGAAUCUCAGAAUCUCAGAAUCUCAGAAUCUCAGAAUCUCAGAAUUCAGAAUUCAGAAUCUCAGAAUCUCAGAAUCUCAGAAUCUCAGAAUCUCAGAAUCUCAGAAUCUCAGAAUCUCAGAAUCUCAGAAUCUCAGAAUCUCAGAAUCUCAGAAUCUCAGAAUCUCAGAAUCUUAGAUAAGGUCUGGUUGUCGCGAUAGCCGCUUAUAUGGUCUGAUAGUCGCGAUAGCCGCUUAUAUGGUCUGAUAGUCGCGAUAGCCGCUUAUAUGGUCUGAUAGUCGCGAUAGCUGCUUAUAUGGUCUGAUAGUCGCGAUAGAUUUAAUGGUUAAGAGGAACAAACCGGGGGCAUUCGUAUCAUUACGCGAGAGGUAAAAUUCGUGGACCGUAGUGAGACGCCCAACAGCGAAAGCAUUUGCCAAGAAUGUCUUCAUUAAUCAAGAACGAAUGUCAGAGGUUCGAAGGCGAUUAGAUACCGCCCUAGUUCUGACCGUAAACGAUGCCAUCUCGCGAUUCGGAGGGUUUUUGGCCUGCCGAGGAGCUAUCCGGAAACGAAAGUCUUUCGGUUCCGGGGGUAGUAUGGUUGCAAAGCUGAAACUUAAAGAAAUUGACGGAAGGGCACCACAAGGCGUGGAGCUUGCGGCUUAAUUUGACUCAACACGGGAAAACUCACCCGGUCCGGACACCUUUAGGACUGACAGAUUGAAAGCUCUUUCUCGAUAUGGUGGUUGGUGGUGCAUGGCCGUUCUUAGUUGGUGGAGUGAUUUGUCUGGUUUAUUCCGAUAACGAGCGAGACUCUAGCCUGCUAAAUAGUUUGCGAACCCUUAGUAUGCAUAUGUUCACCCUUCUGCCUAAAGAAAAAUGAAGGCUGACCAUUUAUAUUUUUCUUAUUUCAAAUCAGUUUAAAAAAAGUAAAUUACUACAAGCUAAAAGGUCAGUUUUUAGCCAUGCUUGUUGAAGGCAAACUUUCGGGUUCGUGUGACUUCUUAGAAGUAUAAGCGGUGUUUAGCCGCACGAGAUUGAGCGAUAACAGGUCUGUGAUGCCCUUAGAUGUCCGGGGCUGCACGCGUGCUACACUGGUAGACUCAGCGGGUUUUUCCUAUGCCGAAAGGUAUCGGUAAACCGUUGAAAUUCUUCCAUGUCCGGGAUAGGGUAUUGUAAUUAUUACCCUUGAACGAGGAAUGCCUAGUAAGUGUGAGUCAUCAGCUCACGUUGAUUACGUCCCUGCCCUUUGUACACACCGCCCGUCGCUAUCCGGGACUGAACUAAUUCGAGAAGAAUGAGGACUGUUGCUUCGAGGUUUCACGACUUUGUUGCAGCGGAAACUAUUUUUAUCGCGUUGGUUUGAACCGGGUAAAAGUCGUAACAAGGUAGCUGUAGGUGAACCUGCAGCUG